rnacentral:rRNA from 1 species
AGCGAACGCUGGCGGCAGGCCUAACACAUGCAAGUCGAACGGACCCUCCGGGGUUAGUGGCGGAGGGGUGAGGAACACGGGGGAAGGAGCCCGUAGGUACGGAACAGCUGCCGGAAAGGGGAGGUAAGGCCGAAGGUGCCAUUCGGGGGAAAGAUCUAUCGCCUUUAGCGCGGGCCGGGUCUGAUUAGCUGGUUGGGGAGGGAACGGCGCACCAAGGCGACGAUGAGGAGCUGGUCUGAGAGGAUGCCCCGGCACGCUGGGACUGCGACCCGGCCCAGACUCCUACGGGGGGCAGCAGUGGGGAAUCUUGCGCAAUGGGCGAAAGCCUGACGCAGCCAUGCCGCGUGAAUCAUGCAGGUCUUAGGAUUGUACAAUUCUUUCUCCGGAGACGUUAAUGACGGUACCCGGAGAAGAAGCCCCGGCUAACUUCGUG